UACGUAGGGUGCAAGCGUUGUCCGGAAUUAUUGGGCGUAAAGGGUUCGUAGGCGGUGCGGCAAGUCGGUAGUGAAAUCUCUGGGCUUAACCCAGAGGCUGCUUCCGAAACUGCUGUGCUUGAGUGUGGGAGAGGCGCGUGGAAUUGCAGGUGUAGCGGUGAAAUGCGUAGAUAUCUGCAGGAACACCCGUGGCGAAAGCGGCGCGCUGGACCACUACUGACGCUGAGGAACGAAAGCUAGGGGAGCAAACAGG
rnacentral:rRNA from 1 species